AGCUCAGUUGGUAGAGCGGAGGACUGUAGAGUCAGCAGGUAUCCUUAGGUCACUGGUUCGAAUCCGGU
rnacentral:tRNA from 1 species